CCUACGGGAGGCAGCAGUGGGGAAUCUUGGUCAAUGGACGAGAGUCUGAACCAGCCACGUAGCGUGAAGGAUGACUGCCCUAUGGGUUGUAAACUUCUUUUAUAUGGGAAUAAAAUGAUCCUAGUGUGGGAUUUUGUAUGUACCAUAUGAAUAAGGAUCGGCUAACUCCGUGCCAGCAGACGCGGUAAUACGGAGGAUCCGAGCGUUGUCCGGAUUUAUUGGGGUUAAAGGGAGCGUAGGUGGUUUGUUAAGUCAGGUGUGAAAGUUGGCGGCUCAACCGGAGAAUUGCAGUUGAAACUGGCAGACUUGAGUACAGUAGAGGUGGGCGGAAUUCGUGGUGUAGCGGUGAAAUGCGUAGAUAUCACGAAGAACUCCGAUGGCGAAGGCAGCUCACUGGACUGCAACUGACACUGAGGCUCGAAAGUGUGGGGAUCAAACAGGAUUAGAUACCCUAGUAGUC
rnacentral:rRNA from 1 species